GUCCCUGUAGUUUAAUGGAUAAAACGAUUCCCUUCUAAGGAAUAAAUCGGGGUUCGAUUCCCUGCAGGGACA
rnacentral:tRNA from 1 species